rnacentral:rRNA from 1 species
GCCAGCAGCCAUAUCACUCUGCAACUCACAACUGGCAUUCCACUAAAGCUAAGCAGGUGUGAGCCUGGUCAGUACCUGGAUGGGACACCUCCUGGGAUAAAAAACUAAGGUUGCUCCUGGAA